CCAAUAGCGUAUAUUAAAGUUGUUGCAGUUAAAAAGCUCGUAGUUGAACCUCGGGGUCUACCCAUUGGUCAGGCUUAAUUGUCUGCACUGGUGAGAUGGAUCUCUACCUUCUGAGGAACUUUCAUGCCAUUUAUUUGGUGUGAUGGGAAAUCAGGACUGUUACUUUGAAAAAAUUAGAGUGUUUAAAGCAGACUAUCGUCUGAAUACAUUAGCAUGGAAUAAUAAAAUAGGACGGACUGAUUCUAUUUCGUUGGUUUCUAGGAUCACCGUAAUGAUUAAUAGGGAUGGUUGGGGGCAUUAGUAUUCAAUUGUCAGAGGUGAAAUUCUUGGAUUUAUUGAAGACUAACUACUGCGAAAGCAUUUGCCAAGGAUGUUUUCAUUAAUCAAGAACGAAAGUUAGGGGAUCGAAGACGAUCAGAUACCGUCGUAGUCUUAACCAUAAACUAUGCCGACUAGGGAUCGGACGAAGUUAAUUGUAUGACUCUACGGGCAGCUUCAG
rnacentral:rRNA from 1 species